rnacentral:rRNA from 1 species
CUUUCCCUACGGGACGCAGCAGUGAGGAAUAUUGGUCAAUGGGCGAUAGCCUGAACCAGCCACGUCGCGUGAGGGAAGACGGCCCUAUGGGUUGUAAACCUCUUUUGUCGGGGAGCAAGGUCGCUACGUGUAGUGAUUUGAGAGUACCCGAAGAAAAAGCAUCGGCUAACUCCGUGCCAGCAGCCGCGGUAAUACGGAGGAUGCGAGCGUUAUCCGGAUUUAUUGGGUUUAAAGGGUGCGCAGGCGGAAGAUCAAGUCAGCGGUAAAAUUGAGAGGCGCAACCUCUU